GAAAUUUGAGUAUUGAUGCUUGGUUCCUGUCUCUCCUUUUCUAUCACUUUUUAUUUCUUCCACUGAUAAAGUUAAAUACAUAGAAACAAACGUUGACAGUCACACAAAUACUUAGGUUAAGUUCUUUUAAACAGAUGGUACAGUAUGAAAGAAGCUUCUUGGCAGUUUCAGUUGCAGAGAAUAGAUUAGAACUGGCUUGUGGGGGGAUUUAUAUCCAGUCUUUGAGAAUCCCUCUUAAUUGCUUUAAAUUGAUUAUUUAAAAUAAUCUUCUUUAAUUGAAAC
rnacentral:lncRNA from 1 species